CAGCCGCCGCGGUAAAACCGAGGUCUCAAGCGUUGUUCGGAUUCAUUGGGCGUAAAGGGUGCGUAGGUGGCGGUGUAAGUCUAACGUGAAAUCUCGGGGCUCAACCUCGAAAUUGCGUCGGAUACUGCACUGCUAGAGGAUUGUAGAGGGGAGUGGAAUUCAUGGUGUAGCAGUGAAAUGCGUAGAUAUCAUGAGGAAGACCAGUUGCGAAGGCGACUCUCUGGGCAAUUCCUGACACUGAGGCACGAAGGCUAGGGGAGCAAACGGGAUUAGAGACCCCAGUAGUCCCUGUCUCUUAUAC
rnacentral:rRNA from 1 species